UAUUUAAUCCAUUUUUCUUUCUUUCAGGAAACCAGUUAUUUGAAGAACAUCACAUUGGAUUUGGCAAAUAUCCCAGACGUUUUUCUCAAUUUUUUUAAAAUUUAUUUACCUUUUCUUUUUGUUAUGCCAUGGUAAUGUUAUAUUUUCCUUGGUAAUGUCAUAUUUUAACUUUAAAGCAAUUUCCAUGUAAUCCCAUGUUUAGAGGUGUUCAUUACUGCAUUGUUGUCUGUAAAUAAUUUUUUGUUUCCUUUUCUUUGAAGGGUCCAGCAGUUAGAAGAUCCUGCACAGAACAUACAGCAGAUUGGACCUCAUGUAAGGAAGGAAGCAGAGCUUGGUCCAGGAGAAACUGACUGGGGAGGAACCGGACUGACCUGGACCCAGCCAUCCACAGAACAAUACAGCAGAUUGCGACCAUUUCUAAAAACACUUGUACCAUUCUGAUUUCCUUCCAGUACGUAAAUAUUAGAUCCGUAUGUUAAGUUGCAUUGUAUAUGUAAGAAAUGUAUAGUUUUUUUCAAUAUGUAUGUUUAGCUUCCAGUGUAUGGAAAUAUUAUGUAUGGAUUUAUAGUAUAUGUUACAUGUUUGUUUUAUGUAUUAUGCAUGUUUAGUUUUGUAGUACUUUAUAUAAGCCAAAUUGUAUAGUCUCCAUUUUUUUGCAAUUAGAGUUUAAAAUGUAUAAAAUUUCAUCAAAAUUAUUAUCUACAUACCUGCAAUAAGAUUGUCAAAUAAAUGUACCAUAUUUAAGUAAAAUGCUAUCCAAAUUCAGAGUACUUGUAAUUUUCAAAAGGGUAACAAGAUUGUAAGAGAACUGUAAGGUUUAAAAAAAUUGUUUAAUUAAAGCUGUCAAGAUGGA